GGGAGUGGCUCAAUGGUAGAGUAGCGGUCUCCAAAACCGUAGGUUGCGUGUUCGAAUCGCGUCU
rnacentral:tRNA from 1 species